UACGUAGGGGGGCAAGCGUUGUCCGGAAUCAUUGGGCGUAAGAGCUCGUAGGCGGUCUGUCGCGUCGGUCGUGAAAACUUGGGGCUCAACCCCAAGCCUGCGGUCGAUACGGGCAGGCUCGAGUUCGGUAGGGGAGCUGGAAUUCCUGGUGUGAGCGGUGGAAAUGCGCAGAUAUCAGGAGGAACACCGAUGGCGAAGGCAGGUCUCCUGGGCCGAUACUGACGCUGAGGAGCGAAAGCGUGGGGAGCGAACAGG
rnacentral:rRNA from 1 species